GCAAGUCGAGGGGUAACAGGAGUGCUUGCACUUGCUGACGACCGGCGCACGGGUGCGUAACGCGUAUACAAUCUACCUUGUACUAGGGGAUAGCCUUUAGAAAUGAAGAUUAAUACCCUAUAGACUAUUUUAAUGGCAUCAUUUUAAUAGUAAAGGUUACGGUACAAGAUGAGUAUGCGUCCUAUUAGUUAGUUGGUAAGGUAACGGCUUACCAAGACUACGAUAGGUAGGGGCCCUGAGAGGGGGAUC
rnacentral:rRNA from 1 species